rnacentral:rRNA from 1 species
UACGUAGGGUGCGAGCGUUAAUCGGAAUUACUGGGCGUAAAGCGUGCGCAGGCGGUUUUGUAAGCCAGAUGUGAAAUCCCCGGGCUUAACCUGGGAAUGGCAUUUGGGACUGCAAGGCUGGAGUGUGGCAGAGGAGACUGGAAUUCCUGGUGUAGCGGUGAAAUGCGCAGAUAUCAGGAGGAACACCGGUGGCGAAGGCGGAUCUCUGGGCCUUACCUGACGCUGAGGCGCGAAAGCUAGGGGAGCGAACAGG